ACGUCUCUAGAAGACAUCUGAAGGGGAUUAAAGAUUAUCGGUGAUGGAUGGGGAUGCGUCUGAUUAGCUUGUUGGCGGGGUAACGGCCCACCAAGGCGACGAUCAGUAGGGGUUCUGAGAGAAAGGUCCCCCACAUUGGAACUGAGACACGGUCCAAACUCCUACGGGAGGCAGCAGUGAGGAAUAUUGGUCAAUGGGCGAGAGCCUGAACCAGCCAAGUAGCGUGCAGGAUGACGGCCCUAUGGGUUGUAAACUGCUUUUAUAAGGGAAUAAAGUGAGUCUCGUGAGACUUUUUGCAUGUACCUUAUGAAUAAGGACCGGCUAAUUCCGUGCCAGCAGCCGCGGUAAUACGGAAGGUCCGGGCGUUAUCCGGAUUUAUUGGGUUUAAAGGGAGCGUAGGCCGGAGAUUAAGCGUGUUGUGAAAUGUAGAUGCUCAACAUCUGCACUGCAGCGCGAACUGGUUUCCUUGAGUACGCACAAAGUGGGCGGAAUUCGUGGUGUAGCGGUGAAAUGCUUAGAUAUCACGAAGAACUCCGAUUGCGAAGGCAGCUCACUGGAGCGCAACUGACGCUGAAGCUCGAAAGUGCGGGUAUCGAACAGGAUUAGAUACCCUGGUAGUCCGCACGGUAAACGAUGGAUGCCCGCUGUUGGUCUGAAUAGGUCAGCGGCCAAGCGAAAGCAUUAAGCAUCCCACCUGGGGAGUAC
rnacentral:rRNA from 1 species